UAUAUAUACAUCAGAUGCAGUCAAAGGAAAAAAGAUAUAUACAUUGUGAUCAGACGCAAGGAAUUUGAGAUAGGACACAGACGCAAUAUCAGACGAACAAAGAUAAUCCGGAGCGAAUUGUUUUGCAAGAAAUCAAGCUUUGGAAUCAUUGAGGUCAAGUGGGAAGUUUAGAGAUCAAGAAAUUUACGGGUUCUACCUUACGAUUUCUUUUAUUUUCUAGUUUCUUGUUUUUACUUCGAUGAAUUCUUGCACUAGUACAAAAGAGAGCAAAAGAUGCGAAUGACUAUUGCUAAAAGGUGCGGGUCACCCUUCAAACCGCAUCUUUUGGGUGGUUCUUUGGCGUUUUUAGUGGUUUUAUGGCUUCACACGCAUCAUUUGAUGCGCAGAUGGUUGAUCGCACUUAUUGUCCCUAAUUUUCCCCAACGAAAUUCAUUUCCCUCCAUCUCCAAAAAAUUAAACCCCAAUUUCCCUCACAAAAAUUCACUUCCCUCCUGUAUCCAAAAAAUUAAACCCCAAAACUUCCUCUCAUCUUCCAAACACCUCUCCUCUCCACCGUCUGUCUGCCGCCUGCUGAACCUCGAAGCCAUCCAGCCGAAGAAGACCGGACGCAAUCCACGACAACCUCAACCUCACAUGGUUUCGCCCUAAUCGACGAACCCUAAACUCUAAUCGAACAUCACGGUUAUUUGAAGAGAUAUUAUUAUGUUGCAGAGACCCUGUAGAAGGUACGAGGGCACAGCCAUGGGUGUCAUCUUUCUCGAUCUUUAUCCCGGGGAAUCAGCCCCUUUUCUCUCCGUAAAUUUCCCCCUUUUUUGACCUAGAUUCGUCUUUUUUUUUUAGAUAUUACAUGUUUACUUUUGUUUUAUUUGUUUUGUUUUGUAUGAAUUUUUAUGUUUUUGUCGAUUGUUGAAAUUGGAGUAUAUCUCGUUUAGAUUGUGAACUAUGCUAGAAUUAGUUGAAAGUUUUGGCUAGAUUGAACUGUAAUUAUGCUGAAGAUAUUUUUAAAUGUUUGAUUUAGUUUGUAUUAAAUGGUAUGUUGUAUGAUUUUACUGGAUUUAUAGAGGGUUUGAGGUUAGAUUAUGAAGUAACUGAGGUUGGAUUUUGAAGAUCUUUUUUUUUUUUUUUGAAGUUUUAUUUGCUUGGAUGAUUUUGCCAGUUCUAAAGAUGAUGAUUGUGUAAAAGGAUUUUGGUUUAAAUGGUGAUGAAUGAUUUUUUUUUUUUUUUUUUUUUUUUUUUUUGUGAAUUAACCUUGGCUCUUAUGUCAUCAAUUUACUUUAGCUCUUGGUUCAUAAUACAAAAUUCUGAACAUUUUAGUACUUGAAAGUUUGGUUUGUUAAUUGAACAAUGUGGGCUCCUCCACCACCUCCAAUGGCUGACAACAUACGAGGAAUUCACACAGAUGAAAUCCAAAUUUGAGAAUAUUAGAGGCUUUAAAAUUGUUGUGAUGCUAUUGAUGCCACUCGUAUAUUAUGAAGUUGCCGUCAGCAACGGAUCGAACAACUGAUGUUUGGCUUGACGUUAAGGACAACCACAUUAUGAUUUUGCUGGUGAUUGUUGACCCUGCCAUGAGAUUCAGUGAUGUAGUUAUGGGAUAUACCGGGUAAAUCGAUGAAGCACCCAUUCUUAAAAAAACUAAUUUUUAUGAUUUAUCAGAGAAACGAGAGAGGCUAAACGAAGUUGGUGGCACAUCGGGCUUUGGCCUACUUGAAAGAUGUCUAGAAGAUGAUUCAUGGAGUGAUGUGGGGACCUGACAGGUACAGCUUACCUAGAGUUUCCACAGAUUCCUAAUUCUCAGUUUGUGCCUAUCUUUGUUUACUUGAUGCAAAUUGAUCCUUAAAGUUUCUGACUUCUAUUCUUAGGUCAUUAGUUACAAUUUUAUUAGUUAAAUCCUUUGAUGGCACUUUGUUUGUAAAUCAAUUAAAUCACCACUUUGAUAUGGAAUAGAAGUCACAAAGCAUUGAAAGUCAUUUGAUUCAUAGUCGAACUUUCUUUUUGACAAAUUUUGUUUUAGCCCUCCACUUGUAUGAUCAUCAGUUGAUUGCAGAUUAUAAAGGUUGCUAAUGCAAGUGUUACAAAAACGGAUGCUUUUUUAGAGAAAGCUUGCCACGCACGUAUAUUGGAUCACUUUGCCGAUCAUGCUGAUGAUUCUGGAUCUAAUCAAGUUGCUAAAGAUUGUUAAUUACCUCUAUUUCAUAACUCUCUACAACGAUUGAAAUCUACUAUUUGUCCGACUUCAGAUUCACAUGAGAUUCUCUAUUUAUGGGUGAAUAUUGUUGUUGAUUUGAUUUAGAAGAAGCGGAUGCAAGUUUAUUGUAAAAGUUUUUGUUCGAGCACUAAUGAAAGCGUCUAAUGUGCCAAUAUGUACCCUGUUGCAACGCGCCGGAUACUUUUACUAGUUUAUGUUACUUUGAAACUUUUGUAAAUUUAUGUUACUUUGAAACCUUGGUAAUUUAUAUUCUUGGGUUAUUUUAUAUUGGUUUAAUUUAA